rnacentral:rRNA from 1 species
UACGUAGGGGGCUAGCGUUGUCCGGAAUUACUGGGCGUAAAGGGUGCGUAGGCGGUCCUUUAAGUCAGAUGUGAAAUACCCGAGCUUAACUUGGGGGGUGCAUCUGAUACUGGGGGACUUGAGUGCAGGAGAGGAAAGUGGAAUUCCUAGUGUAGCGGUGAAAUGCGUAGAUAUUAGGAGGAACACCAGUGGCGAAGGCGACUUUCUGGACUGUAACUGACGCUGAGGCACGAAAGCGUGGGGAG